rnacentral:lncRNA from 1 species
CACGGAGAAAAGGUUCAAAUAUGUAGAGAGCAAUUUGAAGGGUUAAAAUACAAUGUUGUAGAAUUAACUCACUCUGUGGUUAGCCACGAAUUGUGUCCAAGAUGACGUUUGUCCUUAGAAUGUUCUCCAGUACUUGUAUGACCUUGCAAUCUUCAGUUUUAGAUACGUGUGAGAGAGGGAACGGUAGCGACGAUACGAUGUUUUAACGUUCUUAUAAAGUUAAAGGUGAAUAAUCCUCCUAGACUGGAACACAUAAUAGAUAAAGAAUAUAAUCAAACGAACUAUAUAAAUAACGGAACGGCGUAAUAGAAUACUCCCCGUCUGAUGUCUAUCUGAUAUCACCAUUCUAUAAACUAUUCGCAAAUGA